CAGUGACGCAGCUGUGGUGGCAUUUGGCAACCCUGGCUGCCCACAGUUACGACAGCCCCGCAUCUGCCAGCUGGGGGCGGGGAACCCGGGACCUGCCCCUGCCUCUGCCGCUUGCCGCCUCCUCCCAGAAGCCCCCUCCCAGGAGCCCAGACACCCUGUCUGCAGCCCUUCCCGCUCUCCCUUUCCCCAUAGCGCUUUCCACCACCAACAUCACCACUGUUUGCAGCCACCAGAAAGUCAGGGUCCCCAGGGCAGGAAUUGUGUCUGUGUUGGUCAUGCUCUGUCCCCAAACCAGCCUGCAAUCAGAGCCCGAGAGUGAUUAACCCCUGCUGUGGGCCAGGUCCUGUGCCGGGUGUAGGCGCACACUGCGCGGGGCACAGGCAGAGCUCCCCCGUCCUUGGGAAGCUCGUGUUCUAGAGAAGACGAUGCUCGUCAGCAAUGCAGUCACCGCUCAAACGAAAUGCAGAAGUGCAGCUGUGGACGAGGAGGAGACAGGUUCCCGGCAAGGCCUCUGGGGAAAACCCCGAGUCCUGGAGAACGACCCUCUCUGCGGCUGGGGCAGAAGGACGGGGACGGAGGACCAAACAGUCCUCUAGCUCCAGACUUUGAGGCUGGACCCUGAGGUGCCCACCAGGAAGUGACAAGCGGCCUCCUGUACAAUGGAAGGAAACUGAGGUACGAGAACACAAUGGUGCAGUCACCUCUGACGCUUACCCAGCUCGCACUCGGAGCCAGGCGCCGUGCGAAGGCCUCAGCCCUGCAUCGUGCCCUUUGGUCCUCUCCACGCCAUCAUGGCAGGAAGUGAAUACCAUCGCCGCCACCUGACAUGUGGGGGGCAAGUCGGACCCCACCACCGGGGAACAGGGCACCUGGGACGAGAAGGCAGGUCUGGCUCCAGAAGCCAGACUCAUAAGCUUGGCACUUCCUGCAGGGAAGUGGGGGUGGCGGUGGGAGGGAAGGGGUGAGAGACGCUGGUUGAGACAAAGAUAAGCCCUUAUCUGGGGGACAGAGAGCUGUGGAAUAAAUACUUGUGAGAAUGAGGGGUACCUGGGUCGCCUGGCUGGCUCGGUCGGUAGAGCACGCAACUCUUGACCCUGGAGUUGUAGGUUCCAGCCCCACGUUGGGCAAAAAGAUUACUUAAAUAAAUAAAUAAAAUCUUAAAAAAAAAAAAAAAAAA